UCGAGAAAGAGUGCAGCCGCGUAUUGGCUAU
rnacentral:sRNA from 1 species